GCCAGGCAUGGUGGCACAUGCCUGUAAUCCCAGCAACUCAGGAGGUUGAGGCAGGAGGAUCGUGAGUUCAAAGCCAGUCUCAGCAGAUUAGCGAGGCACUUAGCAACUCAAUGAGACCCUGACUGUA
rnacentral:sRNA from 1 species